AUUUAUUCCGUCCAUGUUUGUGUCAGGUAUGACAAAUUAAGUUACGCAUUUAUUUAUAUAUAAAAGCGGCAACACUAACAAGAUGAAUUUACUUUAUUACCUACUGUUAUUAUUGCCUGAUUUUGUUGGUACACAAAAUGUAUGGAAUAUGAUGCCUCACGGUGGUGGUGAAGCACAACAUUUUUAUGGACAAAUGCCAGGUAUGUUAGGUCCAGGUGCACCACCAUAUGCACAUUUCGAUGGAGCCGCUGGAUCAAUGUGGGGAAAUAUGCAGGGAAACCCUCAAGGUAUGCCAUCAGAAAUGAUGAGUGCAACGCCAGCACCUGACCCUUUUAUGUCUUCCACCAACAAACCAACACGUCGAGAAUAUAUGUUGAAACAAGCAGCUAAAAGAAAAGUCGAUGGACCAAAGAUGCCUGCUCAUAAAAGAAAUUACCUGGAUUUUGGUUCUAUGAGGCAUAUUCCAACGAAUAAAGACGAGCUUGAAUUGUUUGUAGAAUCUAUUGAAAAAAUGUCAACUGGAUUUCAUCGUUUGGAAUUCCGAUUAACGAAAGCUAUUAAAAUGGUAGACAAAUAUGUCACAACUAUAUAAUAAAAUGUAUGACUAUUAUCUAAACAAUAAAAUCAUUGUAAAUUUAA